CUGUGGAGUGUACAAGCACUUGUAAGUAGUGUGUUGCUUGUAAUCACAAAAGCAUACACGUUGAAGCAGUAA
rnacentral:sRNA from 1 species